rnacentral:tRNA from 1 species
GGCGGUGUAGCUCAGUCGGUUAGAGCGAGGGAAUCAUAAUCCCUGCGUCCGGGGUUCGAGUCCCUGCACCGCCACCA